rnacentral:lncRNA from 1 species
UAGGAAGCUUUCGCCUCUACACUGGGACCCUCGGAAGGUGCCGGCGCAGUGCCUGAAGCUGUAGCGUGUGCCGCGCUCAGGUGCUCAGGUGAUGUGCAAUUGACCUUGGGAUGCAUAACUUCGUUGGGGGAAUCACUGACAUAUAAUAACUCCACAGCAUGUGGCCCCAAGAACUGCCCUGAAAGGUAAGCUUCCCAUAUGGGAAGAUUUUUCUUAUAUGUGUUUCACCUUUGACUAGCAUCCUUAGUUACUGUGGAAACAUUGAGGUUUUUUUUGUUUGUUUGUUUUUAUUUUUUUGCAUUAUGGAGUGGUACCAUGAGAAUGUUUUUGAUGUUUUUCUGAAGGUUGAAGUUAACAAAGGUAGUGAAGUCAUACAAAUUAGAAGUUCAGAAUAGGAAGUUGAGACUUUUCUCAGUUCUUUCUGGAGAAGAGACUUGAAGUAGAUUUUUUGGUCGUUCAUAUUAAUAUGAUAAUUAAAAACUUCAUAAUUUGGCACCACAAGAAGAGUAUUGGGAAUAAAAUGAAGGUUGUUGCAUUUUUGCCCAUGGUUUUACAAAAAGGCCAUUUUUUUUCUUUUUUAAUCUUAGUAGGGCCACACCCACAGCAUAUGGAGGUUCCCAGGCUAGGGGUCCAAUCAGAGCUGUAACUGCCGGCCUACACCACAGCCUCAGAAAGGCCAUUUUGUCAUCAAAUGCUAAGUUAACUAGAUCCCACAAAUAUGGAGGCAUUCAGAUCGAAGUCUUUUAGGUGUGAAACGUGAGUGUUGUAACCCGCUGUCUAGAGUGUAUGCAGAUUUUUCCUUUAUAAAAGAUAUAGGUCUAGAAAAGUAGAGUUGUUCUUGUUUUCGUUUGUUAAGGCUGCUGUAACCAACCGUGAAGAGGUAACUUGUAACAAUGGAAAUUUAUUUUCUCACAGUCGAGUAGGUAGGAAGUCCGAAAUCAAAUAGUGGGCUUGGCUGGGCUUUUUCUAAGGGUUCUAAAGAAUCUUCCUUGCUUUUUUGAUCUUCUGGAAGUUGCUGACAAUUUUUGGUGUUCCCUGACUUGUGGUUGCAUCAUUCAAGUCUCUGUCUUCACAUGGUCUUCUCCCCGAUGGAUGUGUAUUUGUACUCAAUUUUUUUUCUUCUUGAAAGGAUACCAGUCCUUAUUCCAGGCCUACCCUAGUCCAAGAUGACCUCUUCUUAACUUGGUUACCUCUGCAAAGACCUUUUCCAAAUAGAAUCGCAUUCACUCUUGGGGGAUUAGGAUUUCAACAUAUCUUUUGGGGAGACACCCCAUCAUAGUACUUAUCCCUUAAAAGUGAUAAGAAUGAUGUUGACGUAACUACAGUUAACUAGACAUUCAUGGGGAAACAUACACACAUGGAGGAGUGGUGGGGGUGGAGGAAGGUCUCAUUGUAUUGGUAUACACAGAAUAAAAUGCUGAUCUACUUUAAAAGUUAUAAUUACUCUCUUUUGAUGGCCAAAUUAUCUCCCAAGUAAUUAAAGUGAAAUUUUUAGUCAUUCAGUACAGGUAUUGAUGGUGUUGGGUAAGUAUUAGUUCAUUCUCUGGACUCUCAAGGGAAUUUUUUUAACACCUUCUAUUGAAAAAUUAUUUAUAAAAAUAAUCUAUUUCACUUGAUUUCUCAGAUAAGUCUCCUAAAUCAAGAUUGGGUAAGGUGUGCUUUACCAAUUAGCUAUUACCCUAUUUAAAAAAAAAAUAACUGAAAUUCAAUGGCUAAAAAAAAAUAUUUAUUAUUUCUCAGGAGUCUUUCCGGUCAGCUGCUUAUGGAACAGACUCCCCAGUCUUGCUGGGCGUGUUUGUAUUUCUGGGGUCAGUUUGUAGAUUAAUUAGGGGGAGCCUCUGCUCUCUGCAGUUGCUGUUCCUCCUGUAGGAGCCAGGCUUCUUCUUAUGUGCUGGCCUUAUUCCAAGACAUUCUGAGUGUUCUCAAACUUGCUGUGAACUUCUGUUCUAUUUUUACCUCUUGAGACCUGCCUAGCUAUAAUCCAUCCCACACAAGGCAGUGGGAGUGAUCUUCUUAAAUCACUUCCUAAACCUAAUCCAGCUACCAGAAUCACCUGUAAAUCUGCCACCAUUCCCUGUUUCCCGUGGAUCAAUUCUAGUUAUUUAAUGUGGCUUCAGGUGGUUCUAUAUUAUUUGGCUUUUGCUGCCCUCUCUACCUUCAUUUCUUUGCCCAACCCCACACUUUUGCAAAUAGUUCUACUAGCCUAAAUUUCUUUAAAUUGACUAAAUGUAUCACCUUUUCUCUUGUGUUUGCUCAUCCUGUCCCUUCUUCCAAGAAAAUCCAUUUCUCCUUCUCCUAUCCCCUUUCUUUGUUUGACUGACUCAUUUUAUCACUAAAUAAAACCUCACUUCUUCCAGGAAGCCUUGUGUGUUCUCUCUUGCCUGAGAUAGGCUUCCCUGUGUUGCUUAUGUCAAUAUAAACAACAUAAUAAUCACACUGUAUUAUAAUCACUUGCCUGAUUAUCUUACUCUCCCACUGUGGACUCUGAAGCUGGUGAUUAUAUCUUUUGUACAUUAUGGUAUUCCUAGAACCUAGCAGUACAUACACAAGGAAUGUGGAAAGAAUGAAGGAUUUAAUGACAUCUCUUCUAUUCCAAUUCCUCUGUCUUUAAAAGCUGAAGUUAUUGGACACUUUCAGAAUUAAUAUUGAAAGGAAAGAGGUCAUAUUCCUUCCAAUAAUCCUAAUCUUCCUUUGGCCUUACCUUAAGGAGGACCCUGGCACCUUCUGGUGCCCUGGCUGUUUGUUACCCAUAAAAGUAGUAGCCUGUGGAUCAGAACUGCUUCAAAACAGAGUUAUUUUGGUUUGUGCAUUUACUCUUUUUUUUUUUUUU